rnacentral:misc_RNA from 1 species
GAGGAUUUGUCUCCUACUCAACUUCAUCUUCAUCAACGCUGAUUUUUUCCUUUCAUCCCAUUCCGUUUUUUUCUUUUCGGUUACCAACAAUUCCAGAGUCCAUACUUCAAAUUGUUUCCUUCUUGUAUAUUCUUGGUCCAAAGUCGAAUCGAAUUUCCUCCUAUCCUUCAUGCCUUUUUUUCCCUUUUUAAAUGGUGAUUUGUUGAGAUUUUCAUGAUCCUGUUGGUGAUGAUUUUGUGUUCGCCGCAAGCUCCCAAGUCCCAACAAUGGCAGAUACAGAUUUUUCACAAUGGUGAUUUUAUUGGUUAUGAUUUGAGGCAGAAGCAUUGUACCCACUGCUGAGAAGAAAAACAGAGAAAAAAAUCAAUAUUUGGAUUACGAUUCUUCAAAUUCUUUGUAUUUCUUCCCCUUAGUUCAAUUUUCCCCUUUGAUUUUCUGUUCACAGUGAUACUUAAUGUUGAGUGAAUGGAUUCGCUAGAUUUGACGUUUCAGAAUGCGUCCCGCAGCGUUUUGGGACACAAACGUCCCCGAUCUGGGACUCGCGAUCUGGAACGCGGUACCCAGGCAUUAGAGUUUUCCUAUUGAUUUUAAGGAUGGUUGCCUAUCUUCGAAAUUGACCCUCCAAAGUUUACUGAUCCAACAGUAGAUGACGGGGGAGAAUUUACAUCGCAGAAGGUACUGAAGCAGAUGUGGGAAAUAAGGCCAAUCUAACACUCAUAUGCAAGCUAUGGAUGCGGAGAAUUUUCAAUGUCUAUGCAUUUAUGGAUACCAUGAUUAUAAAGUGUGGAAGCCGACCAAGGGAAUUGAAGCAUGAAUGACCCAAGAGAAUUUGUUUUCAUUCCAAUUCUUCCAUUGGUGUGGUAAGUAGAAGGUCUUAGAAUCUCAGCCUUGGCAUUUUGACAGAAAUGCUCUUGUAUUGGAGGAUGAUACGAGUGAGGAACAACCCUCCACGAUGCAGUUGUUUAUGGUUCCUUAUUGGGCGGGCAUCUAUGAUUUACCACUGAAGGCUUGCACCCGGGAGUGGUUGGUAUGCUUGCUAUAAAACUGGGACACAUGGUUGAAUAUGAUGAACAUAAUAGAGAGAGUUGGAACCGUUAUAUGAGGGGUUGAACCUUAUUCAUCCCUUUCAGUGCAGCACAAUAGUGACUUUUGCAUCAAGCACUUCAUUAUGGGUCUAUUUUAAAUCUGAAAAGUUACCCACUCUCUGUUAUUUUUGUGGGCAUUUGGGACAUUUUCUUAAGAACUGUGAGGCACUUCUGGAAGUGGUUGAGGAUCCUAAGGUGGUGGUGAAUGGUCUUCCGUAUAGGUAUUUAAUGAGAGCUUCACCGAUGAAGAGGGGUAGAAGUGGUGUGGCUGUCCAAAGUGACUUCCCGAAUGUUUCACUGCAGCAAUCAUUAUUCAGCUCAUAAUCGGGUCGGAAGGGGCACAAUAAAUAUAGCGAGGGUAGUUUGGUAAAUGUGAGGGACGGUUAGAGACAUAAUAGUCAGGCUGGCACUGGAGAUAAUAUUGUUCAUAGCCCACUAGCGAAGGGUGCGGGAGUGCAUGUUGGUGGAGAUAAUAUUGUUAAUAGCCCACUACCGGAGGAUGUAGCAGUGCAUGUUGGUGGAGAUGCGAUUCCUAUUCAAACUGAUAUUCUCAUUCCCUUAUCCAUUGAAGUCAUACAUAGUAAUCCCAUUCAUACAGGGAAUGAGUUGCAAUUACCAUGUGCUGCCAGACUUCCCUCUAUAGUUAAUGAUACGGUGCAUAUUGGCCAUGAAACUCAAGACAACUUUACAGAUAUGGUGCAGAUGGAGGGUGAUGUUUUGCUUGUUAUUGGACCUGUCCAUGAUAAGUAUUUUUUCCUUGAUAAUGCAUCAUAUUGAAAACCCAAAACAAGCUGUGAUUUCCGUGGGAACUGGUGGUACGUUGAGCACUAAGUGACGAGGGUGUAAGAGACAAGCUCGCAUGGGUGCUAAUCGAGAUAGCCAGUGCAAUGACGGGAGUGGUGUUGUGGGUCAAAAGCGAAAGGAUUUUACUGUAGAUAUGGAGGACAAGGAGGACAGGCUGAUGGAUAAAAAAUUUAAGGUGGUUGGUUUGGCUGCUCUGUCUCAGAAUACUUUAUUUGCCCAGCCCCACUGAGUGCCAUGAAAACUUUGUUUGUAACUGUCGAGGGUUGCUACUCAAUUCCUAAAGAAGAUCCUGGGUCUUCAUAAACCAAAACUUAUUUUUCUUAUGGAAACUCAUUUAAAACAGUAUAAGAUGGAUAGAGUUCAACAUAGAAUUGGUGGGCCCAAUUGUUUUGCAUUGAAUUAUGAUGGUCAUGGUAGAAGUCGAAGUAGGGGUUUGGCAGGGGGCUAGGAUGACUCGAUUAGUGCAACUUUAAUGACUUUUUUAGUGCAUCAUAUUCAUAUGUUAGUGAGAACGUCUCUAGACAGAUUAAAUGGCAUUUUUCGAGUAUCUAUGGGCAGCCAAAGGAGGAGUAUAAGCAUCGCACUUUCCAGUUGCUUCGACAGCACAAGAAACUAGCGUCAAUUCCUUGGGUAUAUGUCGGAGAUUCGUUCUUUAACCGAGGGAGAAACAAGGAGGUAAUCCAUGACCUUGUAGAGUUAUUUAGUUAUUUCAAGAUGCACUGUUGGAUUGUGAUUUGCAGCAUAUGGAUUUUAGAGUUUAUGAAUUUACAUGGACAUAUGGGCAAGCUGGUGUUCAUAACAUUCAGAAACGACUGGACAGUUAUUCCUUGGGGUUGGCUUAUUUCAUUUACCCAGACAGCGGUCGAAUCAUUUUCUAUUACUUCUGUCGCCAGCCCCUACUAUUACCUUUCAAUUAGGAGGCAUGAAAUUGUUCUGUUUUGAGAAAAUGUGGAUGAGCCAUGCUAAAUGUGAUGGGGAAUUCAGUGUGGUUGGCAUUUGGGAGUGGGGCAAAGAUAUAACUGUGAAAAUUGCUAAUUGUGGUCGUGGUCUUCAACGUUGGAAGAAGGAGACUUUUAGGAAUAUUAAUAGACACUUAAAGCACAUAAGGGACCGAAUGAAUUUUUUGCAGCAUCAAUUGCAUUCUGAAGAGGUUGCGAAUGAGUUUUGAAGUUUAAAAAGGGAGCUUGAGUCAACUCUUCAAUUGGAGGAAAUGAUGUGGAUGUAGAGAUCUGGGGUUUCUUAGUAGAAGGAUGGUGACAACAAUAUUGGCUUCUUUCAUCAAAGAGCAAAUGGCAAGCAAAAAUGUAAUAUGGUAGAGGUAGUUAAAAGGAUCUAAUGGUGAAUGGGUGUGAGAAAAGGAGGAUAUUGGGAGGGUGUUCACUUCAUAUUUUGAAGAUUUGUUUUCUUCAGCAAGUUCAUCGAAGAUGGCAACUGUCCUUUAUUCAGUGGAUGGUAGGGUGUUUGAGCAAAUGAAUGAGCAGCUGAUAAAGCCUUACACUGUAGAUGAGAUUCUCUGUUCUCUAAAGCAAAUGCAUCCAAUUAAGGUGCUAAAUUCAGUGUAUGACCAGUACAACCAAACCUGAAGAAGAAUUGCUUGAAUUGGAUCCUGAAAUAGACAAGACUCUAAGAACCAUCAGGAGAGAGAGGAGAAACCAAGAGCCAGAACCUGAACCUGAAAUUCUUGAAGCAAUAGUCAUGGCAAAUAACAACAAUAACAGACCAAGAUCCCUGAGGAACUAUGGAGCCCCUACUAUCCAAGGAUUCCAAUCUAGCAUUAUCAGGCUUACAAUCGAAGCCAACAAUUUUGAACUCAAACCAGCGUGGCUCCAAAUAAUUCAGCAAUUGGAGGCUUACCUAUGGAAGAUCCACAUUAUCACCUACAGUGCUUUUUUGCUUUGUGCGACACUUUUAAAAUGAAUGGGGUUUCUGAUCAAGCUAUUAGACUCCGAGCAUUCCCAUUCUCACUUAGAGAUAAGGCAAGGAAGUGGCUACUUUCUCUCUUAGUAAGGGAUUUGCCACAUGCAAAAACUACAAAAUUAAGGCUAAAAUUGAACACCUACAGACAAAAGGAAGGAAAGUCACUCUAUGAUGCUUGGGAGAGAUACAAAGACCUUCAAAGGGAAUGCCCACACCAUGGCAUAGAAGAUUGGCUUCUUGUCCAAAAUUUCUAUAAGGGAUUGUUACCAUCCACAAGAAGUUCAGUUGAUUCAGCAGCAGGAGGAGACCUUAUGGAGAAAACAAUGACUGAAGCUUUGGGACUGUGGGAAAGGGUUGCACAUCAUAAUUUUGAGUGGCCAAAUGAGAGGAGAGAUUUAAGGAGGAUAACAGGGAUCCUAGAAUUUGAUGCUGUCAGCAUGAUUAAUGCCCAAUUUGACCAGCUCACAAAAAGACCUGACAGGAUGUAGGCCAAUGUAGUGGGAUCAAGUAAUAAAUACUGCGAAAGCUAUGAGGGAGGUCAUGUAACUUCAAAAUGUAGUCUUCACAGCGAGCCUUCCAUAGAGUAGCUGAACUAUGUGAGCAAUAUAGGGAACUUCAACUAGAGACAGGUCAAUAACCCUUUUUCUAAUACUUAAAACCCUGGAUGGAGAAAUCACCUCAAUUUCUCAUGGUCCAACUCAUAGAAUUUGCAAAAUUAGCCCAUAAACAAAUAGUAAGGAUACAGGCCACCACCACCAGGUUUCCAAAACAGAGGUCAGAAUUUAAUGCAGCAACCACCACCACAUCCUCAACCUCAACAACCAAAAUCUAAGUUGACAAUGGAAUCCAUGAUAAAGGGCCUUUUGGCAACACAACAACAGCAAAAUGAGAUGAUCAAACAACUAAAUUUCAGAGUGGAUCAGUUAGCCACCCAUAAUAAAAUGUUUGAAAACCAGAUUGCCCAAUAAGUUGGUCCUUCAAGUAAAUAGAUUAGAAAAUUACCUAGUCAACCGGAGAUAAACCCCAAAG